UCAAAUCCCCAAAACUCUCACUGAGAAAAGAGAAAAAAGAACAGGGUACCAAAAGAAGCAUAACACUACAACGACCAAGCACAUGGUAUUAUAAGAUUCUCCUCCUACUUUGGACAAUGAUUUUUAGCUAAGAAAAAACUAGGGCACCGAUGAUGGUAUAUGGAGUAGGACGAGUGCAUUACAUGGUCAAGAGAAUUGAUAAUCAUGUGUGACUCCCUUUCAAGCUUUAUAACGAAACAGCCUGCAGAAGAAUAGAUGAUCUAUACAUAAGCAAAUAUAGCAACUCAUAGAGAACUUCUAACAAAAAACAAAAUAUUGAUGGAGAAGUAAGAAGUUGUUUAUUGCAACU
rnacentral:lncRNA from 1 species